rnacentral:rRNA from 1 species
UAAGACGAACCGUGCAAACGUUGUUCGGAAUCACUGGGCUUAAAGGGCGCGUAGGCGGCUUGCCAAGUCAGGGGUGAAAUCUUUCGGCUCAACCGGAAAAGUGCCUUUGAUACUGGCGAGCUUGAGGGAGGUAGGGGCAUGUGGAACUUCCGGUGGAGCGGUGAAAUGUGUUGAUAUCGGAAGGAACGCCGGUGGCGAAAGCGACGUGCUGGACCUCUUCUGACGCUGAGGCGCGAAAGCUAGGGGAGCGAACGGGAUUAGAUACCCCGGUAGUCCUAGCCCUAAACGAUGGGUACUAGGUAGUGGACUUAACAUGGGUUCCCUGCCGAAGCAAAAGUGAUAAGUACCCCGCCUGGGGAGUAUGGUCGCAAGGCUG